UGAAUGUAGACAUCAAGGCCUGCGUCAUAAACUUCCCAUAUGAUUUCCCAUAUGGGAGUUUAUGACUUGGGCUUCGUUGUCUUUGUCC
rnacentral:pre_miRNA from 1 species